UGAGUACGAGAUGCUACGGCAUCGAAGCAGUCUAUGUCAUACUUCCAAGAAAAGCUUGCAAUGUCAUAAACAAAUAAUGCCUGUACCAUAACCGACACAGGUGGGUAGGUAGAGUAUACUAAGGGGCGCGAGAUAACUCUCUCUAAGGAACUCGGCAAAAUGACUCCGUAACUUCGGGAGAAGGAGUGCCUUAUUUUUAUAAGGUUGCAAUAACAAGAUCCAAGCAACUGUUUACCAAAAACACAGGUCUCCGCUAAGUCGUAAGACGAUGUAUGGGGGCUGACGCCUGCCCAGUGCCAGAAGGUUAAAGAAGUUGGUUAGCAUUAGCGAAGCUGAUAACUGAAGCCCUGGUGAACGGCGGCCGUAACAAUAACGGUCCUAAGGUAGCGAAAUUCCUUGUCGGGUAAGUUCCGACCCGCACGAAAGGCGUAAUGAUUUGGAUACUGUCUCGGAGAGGGGCUCGGUGAAAUAGACUUGUCUGUGAAGAUGCGGACUACCUGCACCUGGACAGAAAGACCCUAUGAAGCUUUACUGUAACUUGAGAUUGAAAUUGGACUUUAUCUGCGCAGUAUAGGUGGGAGACGUUGAAAAUAUUCUUGCGGGAAUAUUGGAGUCAUCAGUGAGAUACCACUCUUAUAAUGUUAGAUUUCUAACUUUGUAUCAUUAUCUGGUCAAAGAACAGUUUCAGGCGGGCAGUUUGACUGGGGCGGUCGCCUCCCAAACGGUAACGGAGGCGCACAAAGGUUUCCUCUGAACGUGUAGAAAUCGUAUCUAGAGUGUAAAGGCAUAAGGAAGCUUGACUGUGAGACCUACAAGUCGAGCAGGGACGAAAGUCGGUCUUAGUGAUCUGACGGUGCUGAGUGGAAAGGCCGUCACUCAACGGAUAAAAGUUACUCUAGGAUAACAGGCUGAUCUCCCCCAAGAGUUCACAUCGACGGGGAGGUUUGGCACCUCGAUGUCGGCUCAUCGCAUCCUGGGGCGGUAGUACGUCCCAAGGGUUGGGCUGUUCGCCCAUGAAAGCGGUACGCGAGCUGGGUUCAGAACGUCGUGAGACAGUUCGGUCCAUAUCCGGUGUAGGCGUUAGAAUAUUGAGAGGAGCCUUCUUUAGUACGAGAGGACCGAGAAGGACAUACCUCUGGUGUACCAGUUAUCGUGCCAACGGUAAACGCUGGGUAGCCAUGUAUGGAGAGGAUAACCGCUGAAAGCAUCUAAGUGGGAAGCCCACCUCAAGAUAAGUAUUCUG
rnacentral:rRNA from 1 species